rnacentral:rRNA from 1 species
UACGUAGGUGGCAAGCGUUGUCCGGAAUUAUUGGGCGUAAAGCGCGCGCAGGUGGUUUCUUAAGUUCUGAUGUGAAAGCCCACGGCUCAACCGUGGAGGGUCAUUGGAAACUGGGGAACUUGAGUGCAGAAGAGGAAAGUGGAAUUCCAAGUGUAGGCGGUGAAAUGCGUAGAGAUUUGGAAGGACACCAGUGGCGAAGGCGACAUUUCGUGGCUGUAACUGAACACUGAGGCGCGAAAGCGUGGGGAGCGAACAGGA